GAUGAACGCUGGCGGCGUGCCUAAUACAUGCAAGUCGAGCGAACGGACGAGAAGCUUGCUUCUCUGAUGUUAGCGGCGGACGGGUGAGUAACACGUGGAUAACCUACCUAUAAGACUGGGAUAACUUCGGGAAACCGUAGCUAAUACCGGAUAAUAUUUUGAACCGCAUGGUUCAAAAGUGAAAGACGGUCUUGCUGUCACUUAUAGAUGGAUCCGCGCUGCAUUAGCUAGUUGGUAAGGUAACGGCUUACCAAGGCAACGAUGCAUAGCCGACCUGAGAGGGUGAUCGGCCACACUGGAACUGAGACACGGUCCAGACUCCUACGGGAGGCAGCAGUAGGGAAUCUUCCGCAAUGGGCGAAAGCCUGACGGAGCAACGCCGCGUGAGUGAUGAAGGUCUUCGGAUCGUAAAACUCUGUUAUUAGGGAAGAACAUAUGUGUAAGUAACUGUGCACAUCUUGACGAUACCUAAUCAGAAAGCCACGGCUAACUACGUG
rnacentral:rRNA from 1 species